GAUGAACGCUGGCGGCGUGCUUAACACAUGCAAGUCGAACGGUGAAAGCGGAGCUUGCUCUGCUGGAUCAGUGGCGAACGGGUGAGUAACACGUGAGCAAUCUGCCCCUGACUCUGGGAUAAGCGCUGGAAACGGCGUCUAAUACCGGAUACGAGCUGCGAAGGCAUCUUCAGCAGCUGGAAAGAACUUCGGUCAGGGAUGAGCUCGCGGCCUAUCAGCUAGUUGGUGAGGUAGAGGCUCACCAAGGCGACGACGGGUAGCCGGCCUGAGAGGGUGACCGGCCACACUGGGACUGAGACACGGCCCAGACUCCUACGGGAGGCAGCAGUGGGGAAUAUUGCACAAUGGGCGCAAGCCUGAUGCAGCAACGCCGCGUGAGGGAUGACGGCCUUCGGGUUGUAAACCUCUCUUAGCAGGGAAGAAGCGAAAGUGACGGUACCUGCAGAAAAAGCACCGGCUAACUACGUGCCAGCAGCCGCAGUAA
rnacentral:rRNA from 1 species